UCAUAAGCGGAGGAAAAGAAACUAACAAGGAUUCCCCUAGUAACGGCGAGUGAACCGGGAAGAGCUCAAAUUUGAAAUCUGGCGUGCUCAGUGCGUCCGAGUUGUAAUCUAUAGAGACGUUUUCCGUGCCGGACCGUGUCCAAGUCCCUUGGAACAGGGUAUCAAAGAGGGUGACAAUCCCGUACUUGACACGACGACCGGUGCUCUGUGAUACGUCUUCUACGAGUCGAGUUGUUUGGGAAUGCAGCUCAAAAUGGGUGGUGAGUUCCAUCUAAAGCUAAAUAUUGGCGAGAGACCGAUAGCGAACAAGUACCCGUGAGGGAAAGAUGAAAAGCACUUUGGAAAGAGAGUUAAACAGUACGUGAAAUUGUUGAAAGGGAAACGAUUGAAGUCAGUCGUGACCGAGAGGCUCAGCCGGUUCUGCCGGUCUAUUCCCCUCGGUCGGGUCAACAUCAGUUUUGUCCGGUGGAUAAGGGCAGCAGGAAGGUGGCACCCUCGGGUGUGUUAUAGCCUGUUGUCGCAUACAUCGGACGAGACUGAGGAAUGCAGCUCGCCUUUAUGGCCGGGGUUCGCCCACGUCCGAGCUUAGGAUGUUGACAUAAUGGCUUUAAACGACCCGUCUUGAAAACAC
rnacentral:rRNA from 1 species